AUUGAACGCUGGCGGCAGGCCUAACACAUGCAAGUCGAACGAGUGGCGGACGGGUGAGUAAUGUCUGGGAAACUGCCUGAUGGAGGGGGAUAACUACUGGAAACGGUAGCUAAUACCGCAUACCAUCGGAUGUGCCCAGAUGGGAUUAGCGAGUAGGUGGGGUAAAGGCUCACCGAGGCGACGAUCCCUAGCUGGUCUGAGAGGAGGACCAGCCAAACUGGAACUGGGAAACGUCCCAGACUCCUACGGGAGGAAGCAGUGGGGAAUAUUGCACAAUGGGCGAAAGCUUGAGGCAGCCAUGCCGGGUGUGUGAAGAAGGCCUUCGGGUGGUAAAGCACUUUCAGCGAGGAGGCGUUACUCGCAGAAGAAGCACCGGCUAACUCCGUGCCAGCCGCCGCGGUAAUAC
rnacentral:rRNA from 1 species